rnacentral:rRNA from 1 species
AUUGAACGCUGGCGGCAGGCCUAACACAUGCAAGUCGAACGGUAACAGGAAGCAGCUUGCUGCUUCGCUGACGAGUGGCGGACGGGUGAGUAAUGUCUGGGAAACUGCCUGAUGGAGGGGGAUAACUACUGGAAACGGUAGCUAAUACCGCAUAACGUCGCAAGACCAAAGAGGGGGACCUUAGGGCCUCUUGCCAUCGGAUGUGCCCAGAUGGGAUUAGCUAGUAGGUGGGGUAACGGCUCACCUAGGCGACGAUCCCUAGCUGGUCUAAGAGGAUGACCAGCCACACUGGAACUGAGACACGGUCCAGACUCCUACGGGAGGCAGCAGUGGGGAAUAUUGCACAAUGGGCGCAAGCCUGAUGCAGCCAUGCCGCGUGGAUGAAGAAGGCCUUCGGGUUGUAAAGUACUUUCAGCGGGGAGGAAGGGAGUAAAGUUAAUACCUUUCCUCAUUGACGUUACCCGCAGAAGAAGCACCGGCUAACUCCGUG